CCUACGGGAGGCAGCAGUAGGGAAUAUUGCUCAAUGGGGGAAACCCUGAAGCAGCAACGCCGCGUGGAGGAUCAAGGUUUUCGGAUUGUAAACUCCUUUUGUUAGAGAAGAUAAUGACGGUAUCUAACGAAUAAGCACCGGCUAACUCCGUGCCAGCAGCCACGGUAAUACGGAGGGUGCCAGCGUUAGUCGGAAUCACUGGGCGUAAAGGGCGCGUAGGCGGGAUAGCAAGUCAGAUGUGAAAUCCUAUGGCUUAACCAUAGAACUGCAUUUGAAACUGUUAUUCUAGAGUAUGGGAGAGGUGGGUGGAAUUCUUGGUGUAGCGGUAAAAUCCGUAGAGAUCAAGAGGAAUACUCAUUGCGAAGGCGACCUGCUAGAACAUAACUGACGCUGAUGCGCGAAAGCGUGGGGAGCAAACAGGAUUAGAUACCCGGGUAGUC
rnacentral:rRNA from 1 species